rnacentral:rRNA from 1 species
CGGCAACAGCUCAAAUUUGAAAUCUGGCUCUUUCAGGGUCCGAGUUGUAAUUUGUAGAAGAUGCUUCGGGUGUAGCACCGGUCUAAGUUCCUUGGAACAGGACGUCAUAGAGGGUGAGAGCCCCGUACGGUUGGACGCCUAGCCUCUGUAAAGCUCCUUCGAC